rnacentral:rRNA from 1 species
CACGUAGGGGGCGAGCGUUGUCCGGAUUUAUUGGGCGUAAAGAGCUCGUAGGUGGCUCGGUAAGUCGGGUGUGAAAUUUCGAGGCUCAACCUCGAAACGCCACCUGAUACUGCUGUGGCUAGAGUCCGGUAGGGGAGCGUGGAAUUCCUGGUGUAGCGGUGAAAUGCGCAGAUAUCAGGAAGAACACCAAUGGCGAAAGCAGCUCUCUGGGACGGUACUGACGCUGAGACGCGAAAGCGUGGGGAGCGAACAGG